CGGACAUGAUCUCAUUGUUGAUUCUGAACUGGAGCUCAACUAUGGAAGGUAAAACUUGUUAAUUUCUUGUAUUAUUGUGUAUCUUAGUUGAUGUUAAAGUUCUGACCUCUUAUUUUGCAGACGUUAUGGAUUGCUGGGACUGAAUGGCUGCGGGAAAUCUACACUUCUUAGUUGAUGUUAAAGUUCUGACCUCUUAUUUUUGCAGACGUUAUGGGUUGCUGGGACUGAAUGGCUGCGGGAAAUCUACUCUUCUUACCGCUAUAGGGCUGCGGGAACUUCCCAUCCCAGAGCACAUGGAUAUUUUUCAUCUUUCACGGGAGAUUGAUGCCUCUGACAUGUCUGCUCUUGAGGCCGUCAUUAAUUGUGAUGAAGAGAGGUUGAAAUUGGAGAAAGAAGCUGAAGCUUUAGCUGGACAGGUAUAAUGCUGUUAACAUUAAAUUAAUGCUCCACGGUUUUGGUUUUCUUUGGAUAAUAUGGUUAGUUUCGUUUGUGUUGUAGGAUGAUGGUGGUGGAGAGCAACUUGAACGGAUCUAUGAGCGUUUAGAAGCUAUGGAUGCAGCCACUGCUGAGAAGCGUGCUGCUGAGAUCUUGUUUGGUCUUGGAUUUGAUAAGAAAAUGCAAGCAAAGAAAACAUGUGAUUUCUCCGGUGGCUGGAGAAUGAGGAUUUCUCUUGCGCGAGCCCUAUUUAUGAAUCCAACAAUUUUGUUGCUUGAUGAACCAACAAACCAUCUUGGUAAUCUUCGCUUUACAUUUUCUAGCAUAGUAGAUCUUUCCUCAACUGUUAGGGUUUUGCCCUUGCUAGAUUUAUAUGAACAAUGUGUAGUUCUGUAUGAUGGCUCUUUUAGAGUUGACAUGUG
rnacentral:lncRNA from 1 species